CAACCCACACUCUAUGGCCCAUUGGCCCACACUCUCACUCCGUCACUACCACAGUCUGUUCCGUUUCGCCUUUUUUCGAUUCGUUUCUGCUGAGUCCGUAUGAAUUCGUUUCUCGAAUGUUCGGCGUCUCCAAACCGUAAAUGUCGCUAAAUGUCCGCAGAACGAUGAUCAAACAACGGUAAUAACGCAGAACCAUCGACCGUCGUACAACCGAUACAAAAUAAUCGCGAGCUCUGUUCGCUAGCCUAUUUCAUUGUGCAGGCACAUUAUCAUCGUAUUGAUUAAACACCGUCGCAGCAUAUUAUUACUAUCUAGGUCCACCGGAAGCAGUACGACCGCGAACGCGAACGCUAAAAUGAUUGAUCUGACAAUAAAGACGUUGGAUUCACAGAAUCACAAAUUUCGAGUUCCGGACACUUUUACUAUACUGGAACUCAAAGAGUACAUUGCGGCACAAGUGAACGUUGCAGUUGUCCAACAACGAUUGAUAUUUUGUGGUCGUGUCUUGAGCAAUGAAACUAAACUUGCUGAUAUUGGUAUUGAUGGAAAAGUUAUGCAUCUUGUGCAGAAAGUUCCUCGUUUGUCAACAACUACAUCUGGAUCAUCAUCAUCUACAACAACUAAUACUACUAGUCGUUCAGGACAAAAUUCAGGACCUGGAUUUAGAGGAUGGCAUACACACGAUCCUACUGUUUUAUUCGGUGCCAUUGGUAUUCCUUCAGAGUUGAUGCAUGCUGGAGAAUUGCCACGUCUUAUAAGUACUAGAAAUCAUGGGACUGGUAAUAGAGUAUCAUUGGCUUUGGAUAUGAUACGCAGAGGCAAUGAAAUAUUAAAUAGACUCGAAAAUCCAACACUGAUUCGAGCCAAUCGACAACAAUCUUCUGCUUCUAAUGCAGAACAAUUGCCAGAAGGGUCACAACAGGCAGAAGCUACAACCCCAAGUGUACCACCAGAAGGCGUAGGAGCACCAGAAUCAUCCCUGCCAGAAUCAUCUGCACCACAAUCAUCCCUGCCAGAAUCAUCUGCACCACAAUCACAAACAGACCCAGAUUCAGUGAAUGUGAGCUAUGAAGUCGAUGAAACAUUCCCAAAUACUGUUGUUGUUACUAUUGAUGCUACGCAUCACAUGAGAAUGCCUCCGGGAUUAAUGCGUCAAGUUCAUAAUCACAUGCAAGCAAAUAAUCUAUUUCCAAUUCAUCAAAAUGUAACUGAAACAUCUGCUGAAAGUGAAGUUUUAAAUGUUCCAGUUGGAGGAUCAACUAACCAAUCUUCAGCUGAACAGGCUACUGGAACAUUACCAUCUUCUACAUCAUCUGAACAAAAUUCAAGGAAUGAUCGUCAAACUUCAGAAAGUAGAUCUACAGUUGCUUUAAAUGACAGACGACGUUUAAGAGAACUAAUUGAAGAAUUGAAUAAAUUAAAUGAAAGACUUCGGCCAUUUUAUGCUAUGUAUUGCCAGUUUAUUGGUGAUGAUCCACAAUUUGAUACUAUAGAAGGUGAACAUGGAUCACUUAGAGCACAAACUGUUUUCAAUGGUGUGUCUGAAGUUAUGCAUUUUAUAUCACAUGUUUAUCACGCAAUAAGUGAUUUAAGAGUUGCAUUGAACAGACCACCACCACGUUCUUUCCAAUCUCGUCCUUGUUUGCUACAAGGUACUAUUUUGCACGCUGCUCAUUCAGUUACAACUACUUCUACAGCUGCACCUCCAUCUACUCAACAACCUACUUCUACCCAAACAACCACCACAAGUCAAUCUAUACCAAGUGUACGAGCUUUUAGACUUGAUUAUGGAGGAGGAAAUGUAACUCCUAAUGUGGUGUCCACUUCAGCUACCGAAACAAAUACAAACACAAACACGUCAGUCGAUCCAAAUACUGAAAGUAAUAAUACAUCUACAGAGUUCCCGCCUGAGACUCCUCAAGGAGUAGAACUUAUGUUUGAUCUUGCACCAGGGUCCAUUCGCAUAGAUUCUGUAGAAGCUGCAUUUAUUAACCCAACUGCUCCUGCGACAACAGGCGUAUCUGCCGCUGUUUCUCAACCACUGCAACUAUCCGCUACUAUUGCUGAUUCGGGAAUGCCUAUUGACUGGAUGGAUCAGAUGAUUGAUGUAAUUUCUAGUGGAGUGCGACGUCCUUUCAUGUCUGAACUGGAUUGGAAUAGUAUACCUACUACUUCUACUCGAACUCCACGUGUAACCCCUAGGACAACUGAUUCAUCAUCGACAACAAAUCCUCCAUCACAAGGCUUAGCUCGUGGACGCUGGGAUUCUACCCCACGUAUGGAUCCAUUUUUACCAUGCAGUUCACACCAUUUUGAAUCAAAUUUAAGACCAAUGGUAUUAGCUAGGCGUUCUGCUCAAGGAACUGACAGAUCUACAUCUUCUGCCACUAGUGGAAAUUCAACUACAGAUACUUCUUCUCCAACUUCUCCUAAUGAAGUAAGAUCUUUUACUAGUCGACGUCCAGGUCGAUCAAGAACUCGUUAUGUGCAAGAAUCUGAUGGAAUGAUGUCUGGUAUACAUCCAAUUUUGACUUGGGGAAGACAGCGUAACAACACAGCUACAACAUCUGCAAACAAUAUUGCUCAGGCUACUGGACAGGGUACUAGUUUAACUGAUGCAUUAGCUGGACAAAUAAGAGUUGGAAUGGAAAGUGUUUUUGAUACAUUGGAAAGAGAAGUAGAUUUUGAUAGAACCAGAGACUUAAAUUUACCACCUGCAAGUAGUUCAGUACCAGGUUAUGAUCAUACAAUGAGUACAUCUACCUCUCAAUCAACUCAACGUUUACCAAAUGGAUUGCUGACAACCCCUAUUGGAGAAAUACCAUACUUUAGAAGUUUAGAGGGUCAAUCUUUAUUGGUAGACUUUUUCUUAAUAUUUUCUCGUAACUGGACCCUACGUGACAUGUUCAGUGUGAAUUUAAUGUCGCAAACUUCAACUCUUAGAACUAAUCCUGUUUCUACACAUUCUGAAGAAUUAGUAAAUUUCAUAUUGUAUAGAGUUAUGCUUAAUCAACCGCCAAGCCCUCAAAACAUCGAGGAUGCAGCAAAUCGCAUAUUUUUGGAAAUCGUGCCAUAUAUAAAUAUUUUUCAAUGUACUGUGCCAACACGUACAAAUAUUAAUGUGAAUGCUUCUUUCCGGCGAUGUAUUCUUCAAAAUCUACGUGGAAUUGUUAUCUCCUUUGAUGAAGAUCGACCGGCAGCCAUUAAUAAUAGUUGUGCAUACAUUGUCCAUGUUUGCUGAAGGAUUUUUAUCAUUGAUAGUUUAUUGCUGUAACAGCCGCCCUAUAUUUCGGCUAUGUAUUUCUGCAGUAAUGCAAUACUUGCCCCUUCCCACAAAUUUACACAUUUUAAUAAUGGAAGAAUUGCGUGCAAAUAUU
rnacentral:misc_RNA from 1 species